rnacentral:lncRNA from 1 species
AAAUCCAUGAAAUCUAGAAAGUCCUUUGAAAACACAGCAAGAUUCUUGCUGAAGGAGGAGGAUAGACACUGCUUUCUGUUGCAGGAUCAUUUUCGGAAGAGCAGACAGUGAGGAAAUCUGAACCCAGGUAUCUCUUACCACACACACAGCAGCAGUCUGCAAAUCCUGUGGGGCUCUGACCAGUUCAGAACAAAAUCGUGUGUCAAUGGCAGUCAAGUCUGGUGACUCGGAUUUGGCCCUGCGUUUCCCACUCCUGCUGCAUCUUACCCAGUCGAGGAACGAAAGGUCUUGACACCUUCCUGAAGCAUGGGAAGAAAGGAGGUUCUGAAAGCACAGAUCCAAGACCACCAGAGGCCGGGGACAGCGAUUCCUGGAGGGGCCGCUCACACAACACCAGGAGCUGAGGAGAACUGGAGCAGGAGGAACAUGGGCCCAACAAGGGUGGAAAUACCAGCAAUUCCAAAAGUCAUCUACAUCAGUGCCCAGGACGCCCAUGCAGAACCCACUGAAUGGAAGAAAACGUGGUGGCUGCUUCCUCAAUUUGCAACUGCAGAAGCUGGAAUAAGGGCCUGAGAAGGCAGAGAAGCCACAUGAGUCCAGUCCCAAAGCUGUCAGAGUAACCCUGAGGGAACUGUCUACUGAAUUAUGACCAGUUGUGCCAACAGACAUUGAGAAGAGACCUCCUUUCCAUUGGCUCCUAUCACACCUGGCUGCCACUGCUCCUGGGAUCUGGACCAUCUUGUAUCCACCUUUGAGCGUCACUUCCUGUUUCAGCUGUGGGAGUUCUGGUCCACUUUCCCUGUGAAGAAACCUUCACUUUUUCCUCCUUUGGAGUUCUGGAUUAGACUCUUGUACCUGGAACUGGGUCAAGUUAGGCUAAACGCACCUCUAGGCAUUCCUGUUUCUCAGAAGUUGUCAAGUUCACAUCAUACCUGUUUCAUUGGUGACCAGGGGUCCACUUCUAGCAGAUGCUACCUGGCCUGGUCAGUAUUUUUCAUGGUCAUCUCUUUAGUGCCUUUAUCUCAUCCCCUGCCCAACUCAGGUGAGACUUGCCCAGUGGUGACUUCUCUCCUGGUACUUUAGAUAGGGAGAGAAAAUGUGGCUUGGUGGAUCUGCCAUCUUCUUCAGUUUGGAGGCAAUUGGAGCAUGGCUCCAUCUAGGGAGGAAAAUGACUCCGAAAGAGACUGUCCUUAUCUCAGCUUCUGCCCUGUUCUACUCUCACAAUCCUUAUUCUUGCCCUUUGUGCCUGUCGUAAUGCAGGAGAAUUGUGGUUUUCUUUUUUCUAUUAAAUAUAACUGUAGCUAUUUUCAUUAUUGCAAAACAGCACAAGCUUAUUACGAAAACAUGAGAAAUAUAGACAAUAGAAGACAAAAAAUAUUCCCAAAUUUUAUCCCAAAGACAAGACAACUAUUGAUUCAUAUAGUUAUACAAUAUCAUACACAUAUACUACAUAUAUUUAUAUAUUUAAUGUGACUAUAAUAUCACAAUACCAUUUAUAUUCUUUGAUAACACAUCUUGUCAUUUAAUGUCUUAUGAAUAUAUUUCUAUAGCAACAAGCUCAGCUAUACUGAAAUUUUAAGAGUACUCAAUUGUAUAUAUGCCCUCAUUUAUCUCAUCUCACAUAGUUUAAUGUUUAGGCUGUUACCUCCUUUUCUAUAUUGUCAUUAAUGAUCAUGGAUUUAGUUUAAUCUUCCUAUAAUUAUUUCCGUAAGGUAAAUCCUUAGAAAGGGAUCGAAGGAUGAGUAGUAAAGGUUGCAAAGCUCUCCGAAUCUGGAGCCAGCAAUAACUGCUCAGACUCCCUUAAAAAUAAGAGCUCUAGGAAGGCCACACAUGCCCUUUCCCAGAUUCCUUCCCAUAGCUACACUUGGGCAGCCCUGACUUCUUUCACCUUGCCCUGAACGGAGAAUAGCCCUGAGAGAUGGCUGAGGAACAGGUAGUGAAUGAGCGAGUGGUGGUGUCAGUUUGGGUUUGGUUUUUGGAUAAACUUCACAGUUCCUCAUUGGAUGCUGAGAAAUGAUUAUUCAUUCAUGACCCAUUUAUGGAAGAGCCAUUGCUUCCAGAUGCCAGGCUAGAGGCUGAGAAGACAGAGAUGGAUUAAACAGGAAUUCUUCUCUCAGGAAUAGCACAGCCUAGGGAAGGAAGGCCCGUGAUAGACAGCACACAUUUACUCCAUGAUAAAGAGGAAACGUAUAAGAUCAGUAAUAUAUCUCAGGGAAGAAAACUGGAACCAUCUAAAAUCCCACAGGGAAAAUAUGAGGUUCCUGCAGUCUACUAGCCCAUUCAUCUCAGCUAACACCUUUGUGUGGAUCCUUUGGUGGUGAGACUUGCUCGCUUGUGGUCAUCCUUGCUAAACACAACCUGCCCAAAGGCAUUGACCGUGUCCUUCCUUUGCACCUCUAGCAAACUGGUACCAUCUUAUACCAUGGCUUCUGAAAUCUGUUCAGUGUAAAAUCCAAAUUAGAGUAAACAAAAUUAAAGGUAAAGAGAUUCAUGAGUUGAAACAAAGACUCAAUGUUUUAUGUAUGUAAGAAAAUUUGCAUUAAUUCAUAUCCUUCUGCCUGAUAGAAACUUUCUCAGAUAUUUCAUUAUAGAAGAAACAAUCACAUUCCAGAAAAUGUGGGAAGUAGAGAAAAGGAGAAUUAUCAGCCCAUCUCACCAUCCUAACCCAGGGCAAAUAGCAUUCUAGUGACCUUUGCCCUGAAAAAUUUGUAUUAAGAUGGUGUUGAGGACAAGAGCUAAGGAACAUGUGAGUUUUUCAUCUCCAAUUUUAUUGUGAAUAAAUAUAUCUGAUAGUGAAUUAUAUUCAUGUAGUUCAAAAUUCAAAAACACAAAAACAGAGACUGAAAAGUCCAUGAACCCCAGCCUCUAUUACUUGGAGACAUCCAGGAGUCUCAGUGUCUUGUGUAUCCUUCUAGAGUUUUUGUGCAUAUUAAACCAUGCGUGUUUAUAAAAUAUGAGUUUUGACUAGAGGGCUUUGGCAAAACUGUUACCAAAUGUCCUAAAUUUAGCUAAACUAUCUUCAGUAAUUUUAAUGGCAGGCCUGAGGUACAGAUGGAGAAGAGAAAAGGAUGGAGAGAGCGAGAGAGAGAGAGAGAGAGAGAGAGAGAGAGAGAGUGCUCCUGAGGGAGAGCGUGAAAGAAAGAGCAAUCUUUCAUUUAUCCAACUAGUAUUUAUUGAGCAGAUAUUACAUCUCAGAUAUUAUUCUAUGCCCAGGUGAUACAAGAGUGAAAAAAAUUCCCUGACUUCAUGGGGAUUAAGAAUGGAAGGUGGCAAACAAUAACCAUAAUCAAAAAGUAAAUUAUAAAGUCCAUCAGAAUGUGAUAAGCGUUAUGGAAAAACACAAGUGGGGUCCAGGAGAUGAGGCACAUCAGGAGACAGUUUUAACAUGAGUGGUCAGGGAGGGCUUCACUGAGGAGGCCUUAAAGGAGGCGAGAAGAUGGGCCCUGCAGAUACUCAGGGAAAGGGCACUGCAGAGGGAAGAAGCAAUGCACAGGCCUCGCAGCAGAAGUCAAGGCCUGGAGGUUUCCAGCAGCCAACCUCCUCCAGCUCCGGGCUGUUCCUGGUAACCUGUGCCCGCAGCUGGCUUCCCUUGGAGUUCAGGUCAGGCCGGUGUGUUUGGGCCAUAGUGCUAAGCUUACUGUAUACUAGACGUCAGUUUGUCUUCUCUCUAAAUUUUGAUUCUGAUGCUUAAUUUGACUCCUUCCAAGGUGAUUCUGUGGUUAGUCUGAAUAAGGAAAGGAGAGGGGCAGUGUUAUUGUAGUAGGUAGACAAGGUUGACAUUUGGGGGUCCUGGCUUUUAAACCAAUUCUGUUUUCAAGUCUUUUGUCAGACACAUUAUUCAACCUUUCCGGUCCUCAGGUUUGUCUCUUAGGAAACAAAAAGAAUGUGCUUAGUUGGCUUUAGGGCUGUCCCUACCAUUGGUUUUCAAGCUCUGUGACCAUGUGAGCAGUCCAGGUAGGAAGUGGCAUCAGAUGACAUCUAGCAACACCAGGGGACACAGAGGAGCUUCUGCCUGCAGAGGACUGUGUGCAUGAUAUGUGCCGCCACCUCGUUUCCCUUCUAGACUAGAAGAGCCCAGACCAGAAGAGCCCAGACCAUCCUUCAAAUAGAAUAUUUCACCUGAAUAAGCCCAGAAUUCCCUAAGUGAACAGAGGAGACAUGGGGACACGGUUAAUUGCUUUGUUCUUGUGCCGUUGGCAGUAUGGUUCCCUUUAAGCCCAGAAGGGCUCCUUUCCCCUGCCCCUUGGCGGAGCUCAUUCUCCAUAUGCAGUAGGGGUGGCAUGCUGGGGCCAGGGCUCCUUGUUUUGUUCCUGUGGGCCACAGAGGUCCCCUCCCUGUUUAGUGUCUUCCAGUUGGACACAGGGAGUCUUCGUCUACCUGGGGAAUAAGACACUGAGGAGGAGGGAAGCGUGUCAUGGACACCACUCUCCUUCCAGCAAAGUCACUGUGAAUUUAAAACUCAGACUGUGUGUAAGAGGUUGUGGGGGCAGAAAGGGGCCUUUGGAAAUUUCAUUUGGAGGCAGAGGUGCUAAACAUGAAUAGAAGCCUUUGCUUUGACUCUCAGAGGGUGAGUCACCUUGGUUAUAGUUACUCUUGGUUAUUCCUUGCUUUUUCUUUUGUUAUCUCCGCCCGCACCCCCGCCAUACCCACCCAUCUUUAGCAUUCUUAGCUGCUUUUCUACAGGUCAGCUGAAAAGUGACUUGCAGAAUAGGGCUUCUCUUCCCCUAUUGGAGUUCAUGGGCAUUAUGUUUCCUAGCACUGGGAGGAAAUAUACACGACCAUGCACUUUCCACUCAUAAAGGACCCUGAGGUAUUUAAUUGUGAAAAUCAACUUCUGAUUUAUGUUACUUUCCCAGUGCCUUUUCUUUACACACAUAUGAAAAUUGCUCUAUUACUUCUUACAUUUCAUGCAGUGCCCUUUGUCUCCAUCAACUGUUGUGGAGAGAAAUUUUAUUUGGAAUAUUCAUAACAAGUCUAUCGCUAAUUAUCACUUUAACAAUGUGUUAUGGAGUGUAUCCAUGCAGUCAUCUGGAAAAGCACAUAUGCCAUGAAAUUUGGGGACUUGCUGUGUGCUGUAGGUGCCCAGUCUCAGUGUUUCAUCAGAUCUUUGCUUGGGGAGGAGGUAGAGGUGCUUUGUGAGGGAGUAUGGAGGCCUGCAUCCUGCAUUCCUGUCCUCAUAGCAACAGUUUCCAGGGUGACUUGUUUUUGAGUGUAAAAAAAACCUUAAUGUGAAACAAAAACCCUUCCCUACUCUGCAGCCCUAUUACGGUCAGCCCAGGUCAGUGCCAGGUAGACUGAUCUUAGCCACAGAGCUAAUCGCAGAUGAAGACCCUGCUGUUCUUGGUGCCAUCCUGGCACUCUGGCAAGAAGAGUGGAGCUAAAAUUGCCACCUGGUUGGCAGGCCUCAGAAGCAAAUGGAGAGUGACCUCAGCAUGUCAGAAUGAGAAAGGAAAGAAUGCCUCGGCGUUUCUUUCUUCCUGCUCUCUUUUCUCUGGGAAAGGAGAAUGGACUCACACUGGGUUUCUUCUCCAGGAUUCUCAGUGAGUCUGGGAUUUGGGAGGCUAGAAUCAUAUUUUUACCAGGACACAUGGAGCGCUUCCCUCUGAAGCUUCCUGAUGGACAUGGAUGAAGCCCCAGAGGCUGCCUCCAAAUGAGGGCAGAGUAAUGGAGCCUAAUGGAGCACAGCUCCUAGUCUGAGCACAGUCCUACCGCAGGGAUAAAUCAAGCAGCCUUUAGGUGGGGCCAGGAAGGGGACAGAGGGAAAUGAAUGACUGUGUUGAGCUCAGCAUGACUUUGUGGAUCCUCUGAAGCUUUUAACUAAGUGGAGGAUUCAGACUCAGGAAUUUACUGAGGAAUAUGACUUGGAAGGAUGGAAAGUUGCAUCUGUUAUAACAAGCUUUUAAGGAUGAGUUUUCAGAGCACUUGGAGCCUGGUUUUGUUGGAUGUUACUUUAGAAAUAAUAACUACUUAUUAUUUGUUAAGUGCUUACUCAGUACUAGGCACAUUGUUCAUCAUAAUCAAUAAUACCUAACAUUGAUGGAGUAUUUGUGAUGUACCAAACUCUCAAGCACUUUAGAUUCUGACUUAACUAGGUCCUAGAAGGAAGCCCCCAUUGGAGCCAUCACUAAUAUGUAGAGAAAUUGAGGCUCAGGGUAUUAGAUAACUUACCAGAAACACUAAGGAAACCAGUAGCUUUAGGUCAGUCACUUACCUGUUUCAGGACACAGAGCACAGAGGCUUUCCCCCUUUACCCUUUAUGAAACAGCAGGAGAGGACGGGGGCUGUAUCUCAGUGGUAGAGCUCUUGCCUAGCGUGUGCAAGGCUCUGGGUUUGAUCCCUUGUACCACAAAAACAAAACAACCAUAACAACAGCAAAACCAGCAGGAGAAAGUGCUGAGAAACAGCAAGAAAGUGGGGCACUGAAAGGGGACAGGAGUCUGUGUAGCCCUGGGUCAGUGCUGGUACAAAGCUGGCCUUAUGACCUGGGUGCUUUGCAUCUGUUAUAAUGCACUGUGAAAACCCAGUGUUAGCUGUUGUCCUAAAGAACUGAUUCAAUAAACCCUACAUUUCUGGACAUUUGGUUUCCUUGUUUCUAUUUGGGUGGCACUAGGAUUUGGGAGGAGCUAGUUGGGAAUGUAUUUAAGGAGGAAAACUUUGGAUGUGGUUUUAGAAACAAGGCACCACAACCAGACUGUGAUGCAGGCUUCAUCUGUGGACAGGUGUAUGUGGACAGGUGCAUUGUGCAGGCACCAGCGCGGGCAGAGGAAGUGGUAGGUUUGAAGGUAGCAAAAUAGGGCGGCUUUGUUGUUGUCUGGCAUGGGCCCUGCCAGGCCACAUCCAUUAACUAUGCCAACACCACUGCUAAUAGGUGGGUGAUUCAGCUCCUUCCUGCAUUUUAUUGCCCAACAGAGACUUUAAUAGCCUUUUGAUUUAGCAAGUUAACAAAGUAAGCUCUCAAGCUCCACUGUUUAACACCAGCUGGAUGACCCUGGGCCUGCUGCUGCCUGGAGCCCUCUGGUACAGUCUUUGCAUUGAAAGAAGAGAAAGCUGUGGAAUUUUCAGGCUCUCCUCGAGAGCUCCUUUUGGGGCAGCCCUGCCAGCCCAGCAUGCUUAGACCCCUCCGAUGUCAUAUGUCGCCCCCGCCCCCAUCAGUCCAGCCGCAGAAGAGAUCUGUCUAGAAGUUAAUAUCCCAGGAACCUAAAGGUUGGGUGUCUUUGAGGAAGAGUGUCAGAUGAGAAUGUGAGGGUUCCCGGAUGGGGCUCUUUAUUGAUUUCCUGGAACUAUUGUGUAACAAAUUAUCACAAACUGGAUAAUUUAAACAAUAAACACAUUCUACCACAGUUCUAAAAGCCAGAAGUUUGAACUCAAGGUGUUGGUAGGGCCAUGCUCCCUCAGAAGGCCCUAGAGAAGGACCUUUGCAUGUCUCUUACUGGCUUCUGGUGGUUGCCAGUGAUCCUUACUGUCCCUUAGCUCGUAGACACAUCACUCUGUCUCUGCCUCUGUGGCCACACAGCCUUCUCCCUGUGUACGUCUUAUAAGGACACAAGCUGUAUUGGAUUUGGGGUCCACACAACUCCAGGAUGCUCUCAUCUUAACUAGUUACAGCUGGAAAGGCCCUGUUUGAAAGCAACAUAAGAGUCUGAGGUUCUGGGUGGACCUGAAUGUCCAGGCCCUUUAAAAGCAAGUGAAAAGAGGUAGGCCAUGUGGUAGCUGAUUCACACAGCUAGAGAGAGGUGGUUUCAGACAACACUUUCUGGUACAACUUUGUGCAGUGAUGGGAAGGCCCUGUAGCUGCACUGCUGAAAAUGUGGCUAAUGCGACAGAGGAACUGAAUUUAGCAUUGUGAUUGAUUUAAAUUAAGUUAAACAGUCAAGUCAUGUGACCAGGGGCUACUGUUGCAGAGAGCAAAGCCCUCAACCAGUGAAGGUGAACCUUUUAGAAACUGAGUGCCCAAACUGCAACAUAGAACCUACUUAUUUAUCGCAAAGUGCCAACACUGCCAUUAAACCCGAAUACUGAGGCUUUAGUUUAGAAAAGACAACUCAUAUAAUAAUAUCUUUUGUCUUGAAAGAAAAACAAAUAACACACGUGUCAUAGGUUCACCACCGCUGCCCUAAACCCUCCUGAGUGUGGAAUAGGAGAAGGAGACGUGAAGGCUGUCAAAGUCUGGGCAGGGCCAUUUGCAUCCAGGAUGGCCAUCAGCUGUUUAGGAUGCUGAUCAAGGUCUGCAGGGGUCUCUUUCCGUCUCCGGCUAGAGGAAGGACAUCACAUGGGAUCUCAGCACACAGGACAAUGGUCUCGGGAGUUCUUAAACCAGCAGCACCUCUUCCAAAGGAAGUCAUUUGUACUUUUGACAUGUAGGACCAUUAGUUGGAAGAGAGGCUGAUUUGGAUGGAGGUCAGAGACCUUCAUAGGGUUCCACCUUGCCUUCUCUUGAACCCUGAACCACAAAGUGAGGAAAUUAUGGUUGAGCCUACCAACCAUGUGAGAGAACAAGAAAUGGAGGUUCAGAGAAGUAGAGAAACUUAACAAGGUCACAGAGCAAGUGGUUUGAUGAAUAUCGUUAUCUUUGGAUUUCUGAGGAUCCAUUCCUGGGUCCUUCUAAAGUCCUUGAUGCCCUUUUUGAAAGAAGAUACUCAGUCUACUAGUCAGCUACUAUGAAAAAACUACUCUAAGGUCAGAUGCAACUUCUGGCUUAAUCACAACAGAAUUAAUGUUUGUUCGGUUGCUGGUUUUGUUUUGUGAACUGGCUGAGAUCUGUAGGUGAGUAUUAUGCAUGGGUACCCUUUCCAGGUGCCACUCAUCAAAUGCACACUAUAUGCCAUUACAGGCUGAGUAGAGUCCUUCAUUUCAUUGUAUCAUUGAAUCUCCAUAGGUUGGUGAUGUUGGUAUUACUGAUCCCAUUUGGGGAAAACUGAGGCUCAUGGGAGUGGGAGGCAGGGUUCCCAACCCAUGCCUUUUGCUCAGGGAGUUGCUGUCUCCUUAGAAGGAUGGUAAAGAAAUAUAAAAUAUCUGUCAUGAAUUAGGAAGAAUGUCCUAAAAUCUCAAGGUGCCAUUUAAAGGCAAAGACCAGUGUGGCUCGUGAGGGAAGGAGAGGCCAGACCAGGAGGUGACCACAAGCAGGUACAAGGCAGCCAGGCAUCCCAACGCAAUGCUGUGGUAAGAAAGCAAGGAGUAGAACAGCGUUGUGGAAAGUGAAAACCGCCUAGGAUGUGUGGGAGGCUGGAGGCAGAUGGGUGUGGAUGAGAAGGGCAAUAGGAGGGAUCCUUGUGUGAUGGAAAUGCUCUGUCUUUUCCCUGUAUCCAUGACUUGCCAUGAUAUUGUGGUAUAAGGUAGUUUUGCAAGACGUCGGCAUUGGGGGAAACUGGGUGAAGGGUACGUGAGAAUUCUAUGUGAAUCUAUACAAGUUUAAUUUUUAAAAUAUAUACAGAGUCUACUCCCAAAAAUGUAUAUACACUCCAAGAAAAGAAAUAUAGGAUGAUGUUUUUCCAACCCUCGUAUGGGGGAUCCUAGAGGAUGUCGUAUAUCGCAGAAAACCCACUCCACUGCUAGCCCUUAGAGAAGAAAUUAAAAGUACACGUGCAGCAAUUUCAAUGACCAAGGUUACACAAGCAGUAGUUGGCUGUACUAACAAAGUUCUGGAAGCCAGUGACCACACUUUGGCCACCUCUUGUAACUGUAGAGGCUGAAGGUAACUUACAUUAAACUCAUGAUGUCUCAAUAAAUUUAGUAUUAAAAUAUUUAUACAAGCUUUUCUUUUCUUGAAGUGCAUAUACUUUUUUGGUGAACUCUGUAUAUAUAUGGGAGAGAGAGUGGAGUUCACAGACCCCCAGCCCUUCACCCCUUGCAUGCACUCCAGGAGAAGCUUGCAUGGUGUCUUUUUGCAGCAAGGUAUCUUCAGGUGUCUGUCCUGGAUGCCUUUGGGCAGGACCAAGAGGAAUACAUGCCUGAGAGCUAGGCAGAUGGCACUCGGAGAGACAGAUGGCCAGAAUCCCCAGAGGUGGGAGCACUCACUGAGCACCUACUAGGUGCCAGGUGCUGUUCCAGGGCUAGAGACUGAGGUUAGGAAAGCUGGUGCAGCUUCCCACAGGUUUGCAUUGUACAGUUGAAGACAGAUGUAAACCAGGAACAGGGCAAUGCCAGGUGGUGACAGGUGCUGUGAAGAAGAUGAAAGAGCAGAGUGUGACAGAGUAGCUGGGGGCUGCUUUUGCUGGAGCAGUCAGGGAAGGCUUCUUUGAGGAAAACCUAAGUGAGAAGGAGGCAGCCAUGGGGACAUGUGAGGGAGAGUAUUCUAUGCAGGAGGAAGAGCAGGUGCAGGAUCUCUGAGACAGGAAUAAGCUUGUGCACGAGGGGCAAGAUGAAGACCAUAGGAAGGGAAGCACUGGCAUUGGGAGCUGGAGGGCGAUGAAGCUAAAAAGACAGGCAAAGGCCAGAUCCUAUAGGCAGGUGCUUGCAGAUGUUGGUAAGGAGUUGGUAUUGGGAGUCUCUGGCAGGUCUGAAGUAGGUACAUGGCCAGCUAUGUGUGGAUGGGUUUUAGAAGGGCAGGAGUGGAAAAUAGUAGACCACAUUGUACUACUGCAAUGGUCCAUGCAAGAGGGCAGUGUCAUGAGUAGGGCUUUGGCAUUGGCAUGGGAAACCUGUUGGAUUGGGGUUGCUCUGAGAGGAGAGCUAUCAGAGAUUUGCUGGUGGUUUACACAUGGAUGCGAUGGCAAGAAAAAGAUCCAGGAUGAUUCCCAGGUCUGCUGUUUCAUUCUAUCCCAGCUAACUCCAAAGGACUGGUCAGAGAAUGUCCUUCAGAGAAUAGCACUAAAAAUAGAUGAGAAUUGGGCUGAGCCUCAAAAAGUGUGGGUUGAAGGGGUGACCCCCUCACCAGUUUCACCACUCUGGUCCUUAGGCUCUUUCUUGCUGCAGGGAGCAGACCUGCUCUGCUUUUCUUGUACAUGGAGCUGAUUGUAAGAUGGUGGUGAGGUGAGGGGGUUUGGCAGCCAUCCUGGCAGUGGUCCUGUGACACCCAGGAGAACGGGGGCACAGUCUUCCCCCACCUAAGCAGCUAUCAGCAGACAUCAUAUACUGUCCAUGUCUCCACUGUUCUGAGCCAGCUGUGGUUUGGAGCCCCCUGCAGACAUGCUGCCUCCUCCUUCACUCUCUGGGCUGCACACUCCAGAUGCCCUGCAGGGAGAGUCUCCUAGGAUUGGCUGGUCCAUCCAGGCCAUGUCUGCAGGGCAGAGGGCUCGGGCCAGGCCAUUGCCAAGGCAGCUGGAGUCCUUGAUGCAUCCCCCAAAAGCCAUUGCCUUUGACUUGUUCUGGGCCUAGUUGUGGCCCAAGCAUCAUGGAACAGAAAAUGUGCAUAGCAGCACAAGUGCCCGGGGCUGGGUGUGACCUCCAGAGGUGUGGCAGGCAUUGGCAUAGACGUCCUGGACACAAAAGCUGUGCAAUUCAGGAAGGCCAGUGUCCAGUGGAUGAGAAGGACCUAACAUGUCAGUAAGGUGGACAGCUUCUGUCGGCAAAAGUGGGAGGCACGCAGAAAAUAACCUUGGAUUUGUGUAAUAGUAUCUCUUGUGAUGUGGGAUUAAUUUUAUCUUUGGUGCUGCAUCUUUGGUGGCCCAGGGAACGCUGCAUUUCUCCACUCUCUUCCGUCCAUCAAAGUGGCUCCUCAAAGAGCACUUCUCACAUUCCUCACCCCAAGGAUAGAACAGAAUCACCUCAAGCACAGAACCAUGGCCCUAGGGGACAUGGCCUUCACCUGCUUCCUUUUUAUCUGCCUCGCCUAAUUCAUCUUUCCUUUCUUUUUCUCCCUUAAUCCCUCGAAGUUAGCCAGGGAGGGGCAGAAAGGAAUCUUGGUUUUUGUCUGACUCUAUAGGAGUACAGUUGCUAGAACUGAACUGUGUUUCCCCUAAAUUCCUAGGUUGAGCCCGAAUCCUACUGUAAGUGUAUGUGGACAGAGGCCUUGAGGGGGGAAAGGGUCCUGCAGAGCACUGGUAUUCUUAGGAGAAGAGACGCUAGAGGUUGCUUCCUCCCCUGCACACACAGAGGAAAGUUCAUCGGGGUCAGACAGAAGGCAGAUGUCUACAAGCCAGGAAGAAAGUCCUCACUAGACAGCUAAUCCUCAGAACCUUGAUCUGAGACUCCGCAGCCUCCAGAACUUUGUGAAAUUACAC